rfam:Streptomyces autolyticus strain CGMCC0516, complete genome.
CGGACGGUGAACUCCCAGGAGUCCUCCGGACCGGUCAGGACCGCGUCGCCGAAGUACUCCCCGUCGGCCAGCACCGCCAUCGUGCUGCCCUCGUCAUAGGCGCCGGGGGCGAUCUGACGGACCUUGCCAUGGGCGAUCAGAUACACCUGGUCGGCCGGGCGCCCGGCCUCCACCAGCACAUCCCCGGGCGCGUACUCGCGCUGGACACAGCCGUCGGCCAGUGAUUCCAGCACGGCGGUGUCCCCGAAGCCGCGCAGCGCCGGCAGCUCGCCCAGCUCCGGCGGGAUGACCCGCACCUGUGAUCCGGUGGUGAUGAACUCCACCCGCCCGUCCCCGACCGUGUACGUCAGCCGGCGGUUCACCCGGUACGUACCGGCCGACACCUGGACCCAGGGGAGGACGCGCAGCAGCCACCGGGAGGAGAUGGCCUGCAUCUGCGGAACGGACUUGGUGGUGGUCGCCAGAUUCCGUGCGGCGGCCGUGCCCAGACUCAGCGGCUGCUCACCG